GUGGGGCCCAGACCCGCGCAACCAGGCGGGGAGGGGAGGUGGGCGCGCGAUUGGGUUGCGAUCUGGAGCAUUGGGGACAGGUCAGGAACCGGCGCGUAUUUCUGCAGUGAGACCACAGGACGGACAUCGGCGCCUUCGGCUUCGAUGGAGUUGCGAUUUUGCUCUUUCCAGGGAAACAGUGGCAGGGUGUUUGCUGCUUAUCGGUUCCUGCGGAUAUGCCUGGGUCCCAGGACAUUCCACUGGAGGCUUGGACUGCAUUUAGGAGCCCCUAUCCCUUCCCUGUCCACACUGUUAGUGAGCAAUUUCAUAUGUUUGCAUGUAGACCCAUAGACUCAGAACGACUCAUCACACACACACACAGUGUACACUGACACACUCACAUUCGCACACUUAGGUAUACAGCCUGAUCCUUGCUCUGACCUGGUAACAACGCUUCCUCCUCCAGAGACUUUGAGAUAGAGCGAGCGAUCCGUGUGCACCAUUCAUCCAUGCUCCCACCUCGCCAGUAUGGCUGGCUUGUUCUGGAAGGGGCUUAAGAGGAACAAGCCCCAGCUGUGCUUCUGGCUGGGACUUAAACCCCCCUUCUGGGCCCUAAAGCCACGCUUCUUUGUGGACCGGACCUGACUCUCCAGGAAUCUGGGAACUCGCUAUUUCACUCUAUUUUGGGACAAGAAAAAGGGGCUCUUUGGGGCCACUUCCUGCCUUCCCCUCAAGUAGGAUCUCCAGCCUGCAGAGGGUGCCUAGUCCUUCUUUGCCCAAGAACCAGCCCAAGAAGCCUUUCCUCUGUGCCUGGGAAAUGCAACCUUUUCUUGGGAGCAUGGUAGGGUGUUGGUGCUGAAGAACCAAGCAGCGACACGUCUUGCAGCUGCCAUGUUUUGUCGAGGGGUUCUGGGGGUCCUGCUGCCUUAGAGCCACAUACUUCCACUUCCUGAUUCACUACUGUGAGCUGGUCAGAUGCCUAGAAGAGGAACAAGCGUUCAAAGUGAAAGUGGGCACAUUACCGGAAUAGUGCUGGGGAGAGUGCUGGAUUCUUUUCCACCCCAGGCGGACUGGUGAGAAGCCAGGCUUGGACCUGUCCUCUGCUCCUAGCUUGCACACUCAGCCCUAAACUCAGAGCAGCACGCAUACCACCCCUCAUACACACCCCACCAUCUGCUCUCUAAGGCCCCUGGGCUUCCUGCAGGAUCCAGACCAAUGUGGCUGGGCUUGGGCUUUUAUCUGUCCUGAUCCUGGAUUUGUCCUGACCAAUGUAAGUGUCGCCCAAUAAAACCUUCUAUGACCCCCA
rnacentral:antisense_RNA from 1 species